CACGUAGGGGGCGAGCGUUGUCCGGAUUUAUUGGGCGUAAAGAGCUCGUAGGCGGCUCGGUAAGUCGGGUGUGAAACCUCCAGGCUCAACCUGGAGACGCCACCCGAUACUGCCGUGGCUAGAGUCCGGUAGAGGAGCGUAGAAUUCCUGGUGUAGCGGUGAAAUGCGUAGAUAUUGGAAGGAAUACCAGUGGCGAAGGCGACUAUCUGGGCAAAUACUGACACUGAGACACGAAAGCGUGGGGAGCGAACAGG
rnacentral:rRNA from 1 species